rnacentral:rRNA from 1 species
UACGUAGGGUGCAAGCGUUGUCCGGAAUUAUUGGGCGUAAAGAGCUCGUAGGCGGUCUGUCGCGUCUGCUGUGAAAACUCAGGGCUUAACCCUGAGCUUGCAGUGGGUACGGGCAGACUAGAGUGCGGUAGGGGAGACUGGAAUUCCCGGUGUAGCGGUGAAAUGCGCAGAUAUCGGGAGGAACACCCGUAGCGAAGGCGGCACUCUGGGCCGGUACUGACGCUGAGGAGCGAAAGCGUGGGGAGCAAACAGG